AGGUUUGAGAGGUGGCUGUAAGUCUGCUUCACCUGCCUUCUCACCUUGGGCCCAGACCGAGGAGUGUCUUCUCUCCGGUUCAUGCUGAUCUGAAGGUAUAAGGCAGGACUGAUGGAAACAUCAAUGCAGCUUCAGAGCUCUGCAUGUGACAAGCCCACAGUCACUUCUGCUGUGUUCUAUGGACUAAAAGCAGGUCACACGACCAAGCCCAAUAUUGGAGAAAGACCUUUAGAAAAAACAAGAAACAUUGGUAUCCAGGAAAGAAACAAAGUGGAUGAAGAUUAUAUGAAGCCACUAGCUACUCUAAAUGAAGUACAUCCCUGACUCUUGAGAACUACACACUGGGUUCUUAGAGAAUGUGGAAACCAUCUUGUUCAUUUGGCCAUCUCUGAUUCAAUGGAGAAUGGAAGAGGAUCCUCAAAGACUGGAGACUGGCAAAAAGUGGUUCCCAUUUUAUUAUUAUUUCUUUUUAGAGAUGGGGGUCUUGCUAUGUUGCCCAAACUGGCCUUGAACUGGGCUGACACAAUCCUCCUGCCUCAACCUCCCUGGGACUAAAGGUGCACACCACCAUGUUCGGCCUGGUUCCCAUUUUCAAAGAGAAGGAGAAGGUAAAUUUUGCAAAGUAUAUAAAGCUUUCAACCAAGACUUUAAAGUGAACUACAAACUUUAAAUAGGAAAGCCUGGUCAGCGAACUAUACCUGUUGGCCAAAUUUCACACAGUGCCUGUUUUAUACAUCAAGUUUUAAUGAUGAUUCAGCCUCACCCCCUUGUUUAUGUAUUGUCUACGGUUGCUUUACCACUGCCCUGGCAGAGAUGAGUAUCCCUCAAAGUGUAAAAUGAUUACUAUCUAGCCCUUUAGAGGAAAAAGGGUAGAUCCCUUUUUUAUAUUUUAUACCUUGCUGACAUAUAAAACAAGCACUGUGCGAAAUAAACAAAACCAAAAACCAGACCCCUGAUUCUAGUAGCUUUUGUUGGCUCACUAAAAACAAUUCAUAUCAGACCAACCUUACUGCUUUUAGAGGGUUAUUUGACUGGUAAAGCAGGAAAAUGAAUGCUUUUAGGCUUCCACAAGGCAUAGAACACACAAUAACCUUGUGGAUAACAUUGAGACACAGGAUCUGAAGACAAAAUUAGGAGAAAGCGUAACUAGG
rnacentral:lncRNA from 10 species